rnacentral:misc_RNA from 1 species
GAAAUGCGAUAAGUAAUGUGAAUUGCAGAAUUCAGUGAAUCAUCGAAUCUUUGAACGCACAUUGCGCCCCUUGGUAUUCCGGGGGGCAUGCCUGUUCGAGCGUCAUUAUAACCCUCAAGCCUAGCUUGGUGUUGGAGCAUGCUAUCUAGCAGCUCUUAAAAUCAGUGGCAGUGCCUUCCGGCUCUAAGCGUAGUAACUCUUCUCGCUAUAGAAACCGGUUGGUCCGCGCCAGAACCCCCAAUUUUCUAUGGUUGACCUCGGAUCAGGUAGGGAUACCCGCUGAACUUAA